GACGAACGCUGGCGGCGUGCCUAACACAUGCAAGUCACGGGGGCUGGAGCAAUCCAGUAACCGGCGAACGGGUGCGUAACACGUGAGCAACCUGCCGUACUCAGGGGGAGUAGCCGGCCCAACGGCCGGGUAAUACCGCAUACGAUUCUUCGGGGGAGUCCCCGGGGAAGGAAACCUCUGGGGGAGUACGAGGGGCUCGCGGCCUAUCAGCUAGUUGGUGCGGUAACGGCGCACCAAGGCGACGACGGGUAGCUGGUCUGAGAGGAUGGCCAGCCACAUUGGGACUGAGAGACGGCCCAGACUCCUACGGGAGGCAGCAGUGGGGAAUCUUGCGCAAUGGCCGAAAGGCUGACGCAGCGACG
rnacentral:rRNA from 1 species